UGGCUCAGUGGUAGAGUGCUUGCCUUGCAUGCAGGAAGCCCUGGGUUCGAUUCCUCAG
rnacentral:tRNA from 1 species